CCUGCCUCAGCCUCCCGAGUAGCUGGGACUACAGGCGCCCGCGACUACGCCCGGCUAAUUUUUUGUAUUUUUAGUAGAGACGGGGUUUCACCGUGUUAGCCAGGAUGGUCUUCGUCUCCUGACCUCGUGAUCCGCCCGCCUCGGUCCCCUAAAGUGCUGGGAUUACAGGCAUACACUCUUAAGUAACCUGGUGGGGACCCAUCAAACUACAAAGGGUUAUAGCUACUCUUACAGAAGACAUAAGAAGAUAUAUACGCAGAGAAGACAUCAUAAGACCUGAAGAUGAAAAACUUCUGAUCACAGAAGAAAGAUAUACAACAGCCUUGAAGCAUUCUGAGAACCCAGUGAAGGCAAUAAUGUCUCUUCCCAGAGAAAUUCACAGAAUUAUGCAAACUUGGCUCAAUUGUCUUCUGGCAUAAUUGGUGCUACAGAGAACAUUGAGAUCUGGGCUACAUUUUGCCAAGGAGAGGAACAUCUGUGGAGUCUGGAAAGUGGAAGUAAAUCGGAAGCUUUAUUCUCUGGAGGUGGUGGCUGCCAGAUGAACAUGCACAUAUGAGUCAGCCUCAGGCAGAUUUGUUCUCUUACCUGAAUUCCCAGCCCUGUCUUCUGCCAUUUCUGGGACUGCAUGGAGCCUGACCCAGCAGUGGGCACAGAAACAUGCAGGUGCAGAAAUACUGAGGAUGAAAAGCUUACUGUAGCUUUGCAACAGCUUGAAGAUAUUGAACUGAAAUCUGAAAUGCGUUAAGGUAGCCCCUAGAAGCUUGGAACUGCCCUCAGACUACAGCCAGGAAGCAGACAGGGACUUCAGUUCCACAGCCACAAGGAGCUGAAUUCUGCCAACCAGAAUGAGCAAGAACAUGGAUUCUCCCCUCAAGCCUCCAGAAAAGAAUGCAGCCUACAGUCAGCACUUUAAGUCCCAUGCAACCUAUAAUAGAUUUCUGACCUACAGAGCUUUAAUGUCAUAAAUUGGUGUUGUUUUAAGUCAUGAAGUUUGUGGUAGCUUCUUAUGACAGUAAUUGAAAACUAAUACCUGGUCUUUUUAGCAGAAUAACGAGCACCCUGUAAUGUGUCAUUCAUGCAUAUCUUUUUUUUUUUUUUUUUUUUGGUGGGGGCAGGAAGACAAAACUCUAGAGUUUAAUCUUCCAGCUGACUGACUUGGAAGUGUUCCUGUCAAUAUAAAAGAUCUUGUUGGGGG
rnacentral:lncRNA from 10 species